UACGGAGGAUCCAAGCGUUAUCCGGAUUUAUUGGGUUUAAAGGGUGCGUAGGCGGCCAAUUAAGUCAGGGGUGAAAGACGGUAGCUUAACUAUCGCAGUGCCUUUGAUACUGAUUGGCUUGAAUCCACUUGAGGUAGGCGGAAUGUGACAAGUAGCGGUGAAAUGCAUAGAUAUGUCACAGAACACCAAUUGCGAAGGCA
rnacentral:rRNA from 1 species